CCACACACGAUCCAAGAUCGACACUUUUUGUGAACUGUUAACUUUUUUCCUUCGAUUGUUGCUUGAUGUUUUGACACUGUCAAAGGUGUUGAAAAGAAGAGACGACAGGAAGAGGAGAAUAUAUUAAACACCAACCCAAAACACAACACUGAAUUAUUCAAUGGAACAUAAAUGUUAUAAAGAGUUCGUCUCCUUAUAACGCUAGAUUAUAAUUGUAAAA
rnacentral:misc_RNA from 1 species